AAAACUAGAAGUUGAGGCGUGAGUUUGGCCACUCCGUAGUGUGCACUUGGUGAGGGCAGCAGCUCGCCACAGCUGCCAGCCGUCUGUCCAUUCACCCAUCUGUCCAUCUGGCAGCCCGCUGUUCAGAGCUGUCUGUCUGUCCGCCCAUCUGUAAGCCCAUCUCUGUCCCAUUGUCUAUCUGACCAUCUUUCUCUUACUGUCCUCUUUGUCUAGCUAUCUGGCCUAUCUGUUGAUCCAUCUUCGUGUCUGUCUUCAGCCCCCACCUGUUUGUCCAUCUGUCCAAUUACCUGUGACUCUGUGCAUCUUCUUGUCCAUUCAUCUGCCCACCCAUCCGUCCCUCCGUCUGCCCACCAGCCGCCGCUCUCCUCUGGGCUGCAGAGCCAUGGCCCGGGGCUACGGGGCCACGGUCGGCCUAGUCCUGCUGGGUCUGGGGCUGGCGCUGGCUGUCAUUGUGCUGGCUGUGGUCCUCUCUCAACACCAAGCCUCCUGUGGCCCCCAGGCGUUUGCCCAUGCUGCUGUUGCCGCCGACUCCAAGGUCUGCUCGGAUAUUGGACGGUGAGUGAGAUGUGGGAGGAAGCUGGGUGGCCCUUGGCAGCCAGCCCCUCCUGGAGAAGGCGUGUGUGUGUGUGUGUGAGUGAAUGUAUGUGUGGGUGUGUGUGUGAGUGUGUGGGUGUGAUUGCAUGCGUGUGUGAGUGUGUGGGUAUGUGUGAUUGCAUGCAUGUGUGGGUGUGUGUGAGUGUGUGUGAGUGUGAGUGUGGGGAGUGUGGGUGUGUGUGAAUGUGUAUGAUUGUGUGUGGGUAUGUGUAUGUGAGUGUGUGUGAGUGUGUGUGUGUGCACAUGCACGCACAUGCACUGGCCCAGGAAGCAGGAGCCGUGUGUGUGUGGGCUUCAGCACCUGCAGGGCUUGGGCGCAAGGAGGCAGCCUCAGGGCCCUUGCACAGAACAGGUAGCAGGGUGUACCCGUGGGGCAGAUGGGGACUUGGGGACAAUGGUGGUGUGUGAGUCCACGCCUGGCUCCAGGAUUCAGGAGGCCCAUUUGCACAUCCCAGGUGGGAACCUGACCCUGCUGGCCGGUGCAGGCCCCUUCAGUGAGGCCAAUUCUCCAAGGCUGGGGUCUUCUCCCAGGGUCAUGGGUGAAGGGGUUUGGAGGCUCCCUGCGUGGGUACUGGCCUGCUGGGGUACACACAAUGCUGCCAUAGCCAGUCUGCCCCAACACCCAGCCCGGGGCCACAUCUUGGGUCUCUCAGUCCUGGGGAGCCCGGUGCCCCACCCCUCACAUCCUCUCUCCCUGAGUCAGGGCCUGGGUCUCGUGAGCUGAGUGACUGAUACUUGGUGUCCUGGAUGAGGGCGUGGUGGAGAGGGGCCACAGCGGGUGUUUCCUGACCCUCUUCCAGGAAGCCCAGCCCAAGGGAGGCCUCCGCUGCUGCCGCUGCAGAGGACACAUACAGGAUGCCCCUUCCUGCUCCCUGCCUCCCACUGGGCCCACAAAAGCCAGGGCAAGCCUCCCCUCCCUGCCAGCCACCUGGUCUGCUUCCCAGAAGUUCUGUCUUGCAGGCUGUUGGGAGGAUCCCAGUGCUUUGUAAAUUAAAGCAAGGGAGGAGUGGCCGCUCUCUCUCUCUGUUCAUUCAUUCACCUUUUCAUUCAUUCCUUCUUCCCUCCAUUCCCCCAUCUGUCCAUCCUUCCCUGCCCUGAUUGCUCAUGCCACCCCCCGCCCCUCCUGACCUGGUCCUUUGGUUUCUCUUCAGGGCUUUCUGUCUCCUCCCACAGGGCUGAGAAUGGCAGCUCAGGGACAAGUGGGGGCUGGGGACUGCUUAGUCUCCCCAGUGGCUCUCAGGGGAUUUGAGGGAUUGACGCCAGCUGCCACCCCAGGCUGUGCCCCUCCUCUGCUCAGGAGGACAUACAGGAUGCGACACCCAUUUAAACUCGAAGUUGCAAAGAUGCAAAUGAGACUGGGGUCUCAGGCACCAGAGACCACCCGUGGGCACGUGGCCUUUGGGAGUGGGGACCUGCUGCCACAAAUUUCUGGGUGGAGUCUGGACCUGCUGGGUCUCCCUGAGUGACUGUCUGGGGGUCUCCAUAGCGUGCCCUGCUGUGUGCGUGACGGUCACUGGUUGGGUAGGGGUCUCUACUCUAAAGCGCCCUCUGCCGGCAUCCCCUCGAACUCUCCCUUGGUGAAGAGAGAGGAUGUGGUUUGCCCCAGUGUUUUGUCAAACAACUCUCUCCACUUCCUGUCUUAAGAAGCUGGGAGUGGAAGAGAGCCUGGGGCUGGCCCCAGCUGCUGCUGCGGAACAGGGGUCAUUGGACACUGGGACCCUGGCCGGACUGGCUGGGGGGCCUCAGGAAGAGGCCUGCUGCAGCGUCAUCCUGGCCAAGAUCCCUCCUUGCAGAGGCCCCUGGCCACACUGCCACAGGGUCUGCUGGGGCCACCAGAAGCCCAUGCUCCUGACUCCAUCAUCUCUCCCCUCUGUGCUCACCUCUCACCAGGAGGCCCUCCCAGAGUCCAGUCUCCUGCUCUUUUUUCUGUUUUGUUUUUGAGAUGCUGUUUCGCUCUGUCACCAGGCUGGAGUGCAGUGGCGUGAUCUCGGCUGACUGCAACCUCUGCCUCCUCAGUUCAAAUGAUUCUCCUGCCUCAGCCUCCUGAGUAGCUGGGACUACAGGUGCCAGCCACCACGCCCAGCUAAUUUUUGUAUUUUUAGUAGAGAUGGGGUUUCACCAUGUUAGCCAGGAUGGUCUCCAACUCUAGACCUCGUGAUUCGCCCACCUCCGCCUCCCAAAGUGCUGGGAUUACAGGAGUGAGUCAUGGCGCCCGGCCCCAUCUCCUACUCUUUCUUUCAGCACCAGGUUUUAUUCUUGGGAUUCUGCUACAGCUGGAGCCCCUGGGUGCGAGUUCCUAAGGUUUCUGUGAGUGUGGACCCAGCACCGUGCCUAGUAGACAUACAAAAGGAGCAUGGUGACAGUGAGGUCUGUCAUCUCCAGCAUAAUGACUGUUUUGAUCCUUGUAAAAAAGGUGAUUUUUGGCUGGGUGUGGUGGUUCACACCUGUAAUCCCAGCACUUUGGGAGGCCGAGGGGGGUGGCUCACUUGAGGUCAGGAGUUGGAGACCAGCCUGGGCAACAUGGUGAAACCAUGUCUCUACUAAAAAUACAAAAAUUAGCUGGGCAUGGUAGCGGGUCCCUGUAAUCCCAGCUACUUGGGAGGCUGAGACAGGAGAAUCACUUGAACCCAGGAGGCAAAGGUUGCAGUAAGCCAAGAUUGCGCCACUGCACUCCAGCCUGGGUGACAGAGCAAGACUUGGUCUCAAAAAAAGAAAGAAAGAAAGAAAGAAAAGUUUAUAUUUUUGUUCUAAUGGUUAUCUUAAUAUCUUCAUUCUAUAAUUGUAUGUUUUAUAUAAUUAUAAUAGCUAUAUAAGAUAUAAUACCCCUAGUAUGUUGUUUUUUGGAUAUUCUACUCGCUCCUGAUGGUUAAUUUAUGUGUCAACUUGGCUAAGCUAUGGUGCCCCGUUGUUUGGUCAAAUACUUGUCAAUAUCUUGCUGGGAGGUUAUUUCAUAGAUGUGAUUAACACUGACAGUCAGUUGACUUUGAGUAAAACAGAUUACCCACCAUAAUAUGGGUGGGCCACCUCCAAUCAGUUGAAGGCCUUAAGAACAAAAACUGAGGUUUCCCAGAGAAGCAGGAAUUCUGCUUCAAGACUGUAACACACAAACCCUGCCUGAGUUUCUGGCCUGCUGACUGCUCUACAGAUGUUAGGUUCCAGAAUUCGAGAUCAACUCUUACCUGAAUUUAUAGCCUGCUGGCUUGCCCUACAGAUUUUAAACUUGCUAGUCCCCACAAUCAUGUGAGCCAAUUCCUAAAUAAAUCUCUAUGUAUAACCUAUUGGUUUAGUUUCUCUAAAAAAACUUCUAUAUCCAGUUUCCUGGAUGUUAAGUAAUACUGAAACUAGCUAGUAACCUCGUUUUUUUGUUGUUUUUUUUUUUUUGAGAUGGAGUUUUGUUCUUGUUGCACAGGCUGGAGUACAAUAGCACGAUCUUGGCUCACUGCAACCUCC
rnacentral:sRNA from 1 species